rnacentral:rRNA from 1 species
GAUGAACGCUAGCGGCAGGCUUAACACAUGCAAGUCGAGGGGUAGAGGAAGCUUGCUUCCUUGAGACCGGCGCACGGGUGCGUAACGCGUAUACAAUCUACCUUUUACAGAGGGAUAGCCCCAGAGAAAUUUGGAUUAAUACCUCAUAGUAUUUUCGGAUCGCAUGAUUUGAUUAUUAAAGUUCCAACGGUAAAAGAUGAGUAUGCGUCCCAUUAGCUAGAUGGUAAGGUAACGGCUUACCAUGGCAAUGAUGGGUAGGGGUCCUGAGAGGGAGAUCCCCCACACUGGUACUGAGACACGGACCAGACUCCUACGGGAGGCAGCAGUGAGGAAUAUUGGACAAUGGGCGCAAGCCUGAUCCAGCCAUGCCGCGUGCAGGAAGAAGCAUCUAUGGUGUGUAAACUGCUUUGUACGGGAAGAAACACUCCUACGUGUAGG